UGUGAUAAAAUAAUAUUUAUUUCACAGAAGUACAAACAUGUAAAGAGAAAAAAAAACAGCUUAUCAUAUUGUCGUACACCAAACGCUGUUAACAUCUUCAUCUUAGCUGUCCUAACUCUGGUCCAGGGCAUUUUUCUAAGCUUAACCAAGUGACAUCCUGGUCCAGAGCUAGUGUAUCUUUAUCCAUAUCAAACCAGCAGCGCCAGCCCCUGAUCACCACACUGAUCAUCAUUAGUCAACAUCAAUGCACAUCAAGAAAGAAAGAAAGAAAGAAAAUUGUCAACAGGGCUGUUCACACCUGUUCCUAACGUGUUCUUUUAACUGAUCUUGUCCGCAUUCUGAUUGUGGCUUUUUUACAUGAUUAAAAGAUAGUCUGGGAUCUGAUCUUAUUAGUAUAAAUGGACAAGAGCAGGUGGAAGGAAGGCUGGAUCCGUUAGAACCAGGUGACCAUGUCCUGUGACGAUAUAAACAGGAGAGACAUGGUUAUUAUAUUGGUCUCACCACGGAGACCCUCGUUGUUCCAAGAUGGGAUAAAAGGUUCGGCAUUUUAGUCAGGGAGAAAUCCGGUCCAACUGGAAAGAAAGGCAGUAGUAAUGCCCUGUCAGUUUUUACUUUGUAGGGCCCAGCAUGUUGGCAGUUAAACAGUUAUGGAUUUGUUCAUCCAAAUGCUGACUGGGUAAUUCUAUCUAGCCAACAGAACAAGGCAGAUACAUUCUUCAGAGUGGAUUGGUUUCUACACUAUCACAACAAUGGCAAAACAUCAUUGUUUUUGACCAACAUGGCUGACCUGUUCUCCCAGAUCAUAAGGCUCGUGUCCAGUUUAGUUUUCAAAUGACUAGUUCUAUGGAUCUCACAUUGACUUUGGAACAAACUGAACACACAGUACAAUAAUCUUAGAAAAUAACAUAGAAUUAUUCCACACCAUUUUCCCAAAAGAUGUUUGUUGGUUAUUUACCAAUCCCCAAUAUAAUCUCUAACAUUUUUAACCUCUUUACCAAUAACCAAUAUAAUCUCUAACAGGUAGUUACCUCCAUCAGUUAUAAUCUCUUAACCAGUAAUAACCACAGCCUCUGUUUUCCCUGGGAUAGGUGACCAACCAUGAGGAGGAUAAAGAAGACAUAGCGUUUUGGUCCAGAGCUUGUUGAGGCUCCCAGAAGCAUCAGACGUAACCCCAUGGACCAGAGAUGACUAGGACACCAAUUCAGAUGUAACCCCCUUGACCAGAGAUAACCAAAACACAGCUUCAGGUAAUCGUCAAGGCCUCUAUGUGUCGGUGUGUGAGUGCGAACAGGAACAUGCAAUCAGAUGGCUGGGUAGAGGAAUGAUGCCCUGACGUGGCAAAACACAUUGUCAGGUUAAAACACCAUCUUUGGCACAGAGAACUGUCAGAGGUAGGGCAGAACAUUAUCUAAAGAUGUCGAAUGAUAAUUUGAUCUUUGUAUUAUUGCAGGAAUUUCCCUAAAUAGCAUAGACCGUAAUAAUUAAAAUUUUGCAAUUGGCUCAUAUUAAGAUUCGACAUCUGUAGCAACAACAAAUCUUUUGGAAUAGAGGUCCAAUUUUAAAUCGCUGUGUGUAAAACUUGGGAAACACUGAUAUUUAUAAUAAACUUAUGGAAAGGAGUCCACAUAACAGUACAAUGAAACGUGUAAAAAUAGCGUAACAUAUGAUCUAUUUCAUUCUGUUGGUUAAUAAACAAUAUACAAAUAGCUAAAACAGUCCACGGAUGACUACUGGCUUGAGAGAACAUGACGUUUCUCCUCUACCCAGAGGCAUUAACUCUGAGCUAAGGCAGUUUGUUUUUUACAUUCCUACACAGUGUUGUGGCACCAGGAGGGACUGUCCUGAAAUGGAGGGUGCUGUUUCACAAUGAACUUCAUCCACGCAGAGAGACUUCAGGUAAUAUUCCAUGGUUUUGCCCCACAUGUAGAUAAAACGCUGGGGAGGUUCAACCAAUCCAUUAGAUGUGGAGGAGCGUUGUCUUGUUAAAGUCCGAACAUAGGCUGUCACUUUCUGUGUCCCUUGAAAACAGGAACAUGUGCUUGUAGAAGAUGGAAGUCCCUUCAACAAGAGAACAAAGCACAUAAACACUGCCAGUCUGUGGGAGAGGUAGAGGUAACUCUUCCCAGACCAACCUCAGACUAACAUACUCCUGUUGCAGGAGUCGCCAGACUGCAACUGACAGAACUCUCCCCCUUGUCCAAUAGCCUUGCACACUUCUUCUCUUAAGUUUCUCUUCCACUGAAAUCCAGAGGAAUUGGCAAGUUUAUAACCUCUAUACUGCGUUGUCACUAGCUUCUAUUGUCACCUCAAGGUUAGAUUCCAUAUCUGCAAAGUCCAAAUGUUUUAAUGUAAGGCUAGGCACCAGUGAAGCUAGUGACACUUGUAUAAUGCCAACAGUAUAACCAUAAUGCCCUGAUCUCUGCUUCUUCACAGCAUUCUACAAGUCAACAAUGAAAGGUUGCAGACAGUCAGACCAUUCUAUGUACAGGUCUUCUGCCCUCAAGAGUGUGGUUGCUACAUACUGUAGAGAACGUUAUGUUGAGCCUCAUAGCCAAUCAGGAUAGAUUUAGCUCCACUUGAAGGAGUCGGUCGGUCAUUCCGCCACGUCUGUCGGCAGGCAGAAUCAGAAGGCCAGGCAUAUGCUGCGAAUGGCUUGUGGAAAGCAUGUUGUGAAUUCUGGUAGGACGUGGCUUUGUGGAGACUAGAGGCCCUAUAAGGGCUGAGAGUAGGGGCCAACCAAGGGGUCUGAGGAGAGGAGACAAACACCAUUUUAAUAAGAUGUUAAGGACAAAGUCUGUUGAGGCAGUGUUCAGUCAUUUUGUGUCGAGUUGGAAAAAACUGCCUGAAAAUCUCAGACCUGCUCCAACAUUAACCACUUUUGAAUCUUAGUUUACGUGUCCCUGGUGAUGUUUUUAUUUUUGUGUAUUUCUAAUGUAAAGCACUUUGAAUUGCAUGAAAGAACGUAAGUUACUGUAGCCCCCCCCCGUAGGAAGGCCCACCUACUUAAGUCCCCCCCUACUAUUAGUCUCCCCCAAGACACCCCCCCCGUAUUAGUCUCCCCCAAGACACCCCCCCCCG
ensembl:lncRNA